GACGAACGCUGGCGGCGUGCUUAACACAUGCAAGUCGAACGGAAAGGCCAUGCUUUUGUGGGGCGCUCGAGUGGCGAACGGGUGAGUAACACGUGAGUAACAUGCCCCUGACAUUGGGAUAAAUUCAGGAAACAGGGGCUAAUACCGGAUAGGAGCUUCUGCUGCACGGUGGGGGAUGGAAAGGUACGGUGGUUGGGGAUGGACUCGCGGGUUAUCAGCUUGUUGGGGGGGUAGUGGCUGACCAAGGCUUUGACGGGUAGCCGGCCUGGGAGGGUGACCGGCGACAUGGGGACUGCGAUACGGCGCAGAAUCCUACGGGACGCAGCAGUGGGGAAUAUUGCACAAUGGGCGGAAGCCUGUGGCAGCAACGCCGCGUGCGGAAUGACGGCCUUCGGGUUGUAAACCGCUUUCGCCUUUAACGAAGCGUGAGUGACGGUAAUGGGUAAAGAAGCACCGGCUAACUACGUG
rnacentral:rRNA from 1 species